rnacentral:lncRNA from 1 species
GCAUUGCUGAUGCUGCUGCUGGCGGACAUGGACGUGGUGAAUCAGCUGGUGGCUGGGGGUCAGUUCCGGGUGGUCAAGGAGCCCCUCGGCUUUGUGAAGGUGCUGCAAUGGGUGAGUGUGGUCCGGGCUGUUGGGGCAGAGUGCAGGGAGAGAGGGAGGUCAUGGGGUCCAGAAGAGCAGGGGUGGAGUAGGGGCGAGUAGCCAGGGAUGAGUGCGGGGGUUGUAGGGGAUGGGGGAAUUGGGCUCCAGGGUGAGGUUUCAGGGGUCUGAAGCCAGAAAACAGAUGAGCUGUGACGUCACAUAGGGCUGAGGGUACCCCCGUUGUGAAGUGGGAGACUGUGACGUCCUACCUCCUCUCUUGAAGUGAGGGAGGGGUGGGGGAGGUGGAGCCUGUAGCAGAUGCUGGGUGAGAGAUGCAAAGUCAGAGAAACCCAGAGACAGUGAAGGUGACAGAGAGAAUGAGGGACAGGGAAUGAUAAAGACAGAGAUGGAAAUACUGAGAAAAAAAAAAGAAAUAUGGAGAUGAGAAGAGAUACAGACAUAAGAGAGAAGAGACAAACAGAAACAAAGAAAAAGGAGACACAGAAAACAGAUGCAAAGAGAAACAGACGCAGGGAGAGAGGCAGGAAAACAGGGUGAGGGAGAGAGAGACACAGAGAGAAAGAGACACUCAGAAAAAAGAGAAACCAACACACAGAGGCAAGAGGGAGACAGAGAGAGAACCAUCCGGAGACCGAGUGAGAGACAGGACAGAGAGACAGAGACAAACAGACCAAGAAACAGAAAGACACAGACAUACAGGCAUACACUUACACAGACAGAGAAAAAAGAGACAAAAAGAGACAUCGACAGAUCAGAUAGGCAGAGGCAGAGAGGAUCAGAGACACAGAGAGACAAAGAGACAUCUGAGAAAGACAAAGACACAUAGAGAAACAGAGAUACCGAGAGAAACAGAGACACAGUGAGAUACACAGAGAACAACAGAGACAAACAGAGAAGAGGGAGGUCAGCAUGGAAAGGCAGAGACAGAGAGAGACACAGAGAGAGAAACAGGAAGAGACAGCCAUACCCUUGUAAUCAGCUUGUCCUUGGUCCCGAUGAGCCCUGAUUAGGGGGUGGGGGUGGGGACUGCUCCAUCUGCUGCUGCCUGUGCUGGGCCCCCGAUCUGUCCAGAGGAGGGCACCUCCCUCCCACAUGCACACAGGUUCACUGUGGCCAUCCCCAUCCCUGCUGCCCAAGGUCUUCGCCAUCUUCGCCUUUGCCACAUGCGGCAGCUACAGUGGGGAGCUCCAGCUGAGCGUGGAUUGUGCCAACAAGACCGAGAGUGACCUCAGCAUCGAGGUCGAGUUCGAGUACCCCUUCAGGUGUGCUCCCACCCUGGGAUACCAACAGACCUGGGAGAGGAAGGGGCAGGGUGGAACCGGCCAAUACCUCCCCCCGCAAGUAGCUCCUGCCCAGCUCCCACCUCGAGGCUACAUCCACUGGGAUCACUGAGCACCUGCCUUGUACCUGGCACUGCUCUGGACUCUAGGACUAUGUGGUGAGCAAGGCAGACAUAGGCUGUGGCCCUCUGGCUCUGUUCCAGCGAAGGGGUAAGGGACAGGCAAUAAACAAGAUACAAAAGUAAGACAGGUGUAUAUACAUACCUUAACCCAGUAGGUACCCAAUUAAUGUUAGCCAAUAUUAUUAUUUAAUCCCCAUUCAUUCAUUCUAUACACAUUUUUGAGAACUUAUUUUAUAUCUGGUACUACUCAAAGUGCUGGAAGCAUGAUAGUAACUAAAACAGACCCAACUCCCGCCAGGCACAGUGGCUCACGCCUGUAAUCCCAGCACUUUGAGAGGCCGAGGUGGGCGGAUCACCUGAGGUCAGGAGUUCGAGACCAGCCUGACCAACAUGGAGAAACCCCGUCUCUACUAAAAAUACAAAAUUAGCCAGGCGUGGUCAUGCAUGCCUGUAAUCCCGGCUACUCAGGAGGCUGAGGCAGGAGAAUCACUUGAACCUGGGAGCCGAAAUCGCGCCAUUGCACUCCAGCCUGGGCAACAAGAGCGAAACUCCAUCUCC